rnacentral:tRNA from 1 species
GCCGAAGUGGCGGAAUUGGCAGACGCGCUAGGUUCAGGGUCUAGUUAGCUUAAGCUAGUGGGGGUUCGAGUCCCCCCUUCGGCACCA